UCAUUAACGAAAGCUUGAGCGAGGUUGUAGCUGGUCCUUCNGGNGNCACGUUGCUCGUCUCGUCUCUGUCUUCAUCUCUCACACCCCUCUGUGCACCUCUGCGUGGGGCCCUGGGCGUUCGUUCGCCGGGGUGCCCCGCGUCCUUUUAACAAACGCCUCGCAUGUGUCGGAACGUCUGGUUUGCUAUGGAAGCGAAACUUGUACAACUUUCAACAACGGAUCUCUUGGCUCUCGCAUCGAUGAAGAACGCAGCGAAAUGCGAUAAGUAAUGUGAAUUGCAGAAUUCAGUGAAUCAUCGAAUCUUUGAACGCACCUUGCGCCUCUUGGUAUUCCGAGGGGCACGCCUGUUUGAGUAUCGUGAAAUUCUCAACCCGACUCCUUUUGUGAAAGGGGAGGAGGGCUUGGACUUUGGAGGACUUUUGCCGGUCCCUUUGUUUGGGAUCGGCUCCUCUCGAAUGCAUUAGUGGAGCUUGCUCGCCCUCUGCCCUCGGUGUGAUAAUUCAUCGCCGACGUGUGAGGGAGGAAAGGCGCCGCUUCCAACGGUCUCGUCCGGAGACAAGCAUCUGAACCCUUUGAUCUCAAAUCAGGCGGGACUACCCGCUGAACUUAAGCAUAUCAAUAAGCGGAGGAAAAGAAACUAACGAGGAUUCCCCUAGUAACUGCNAAUGAAGCGGGAAAAGCUCAAAUUUGUAAUCUGGCGGUCUUUGGCCGUCCGAGUGUA
rnacentral:rRNA from 1 species